GCCAGGCAUGGUGGCGCAUGCCUGUAAUCCCAGCUACUUGGGAGGCUGAGGCAGGAUAAUCACUUGAACCUGGGAGGCAGAGGUUGCAGUGAGCCGAGAUCACACCACUGCACUUCAGCCUGGGCCACAGAGUGAGACUCUGUCUCAA
rnacentral:SRP_RNA from 1 species